rnacentral:rRNA from 1 species
GAUGAACGCUGGCGGCGUGCCUAAUACAUGCAAGUCGAGCGAACGGACGAGAAGCUUGCUUCUCUGAUGUUAGCGGCGGACGGGUGAGUAACACGUGGAUAACCUACCUAUAAGACUGGGAUAACUUCGGGAAACCGGAGCUAAUACCGGAUAAUAUUUUGAACCGCAUGGUUCAAAAGUGAAAGACGGUCUUGCUGUCACUUAUAGAUGGAUCCGCGCUGCAUUAGCUAGUUGGUAAGGUAACGGCUUACCAAGGCAACGAUGCAUAGCCGACCUGAGAGGGGGAUCGGCAACGCGGGAGGGGAGCCAAGGUCCAGACUCCUGCGGGAGGCAGAAGUAGGGAAUGUUACGGAAUGGGGGAAAGCCUGACGGAGCAAAGUCGCGUGAGUGAUGAAGGUCUUCGGAUCGUAAAGCGCUGUGAUUAGGGAAGAAAAAAAGGGUAAGUAACUAUGAACGUCAUGACGGUACCGAGUGAGAAAGCCACGGCUAACUACGGG